AUAAAGACACUAGUCAUUGGAUUAGGGCUCCAGCAUGAUCUCAUCUUCCCUUGGGGGAUUGAAAAGGACCUAUUUCCAAAUAAGAUCAAAUUCACAGGUAUCGGGGUUGGGAUUUGAACAUAUCGUUUAUAGGGACUCAAUGCAAUCCAUCACAGUGAGUUUAAAAGCAGGAUAUUGCUACCUCGAGUUAAAUACACUUAAAACUACCAAAGGCCAUAACUUUCAGACAAAAAGGAAGACAGCAUGGUGUUUGGUGAUGAAAUAGUCAAGAAUCUUUUUUCAGAGAAGCCCUCUAGGAGUUCUUCCCCUCCAGAGAGGGACACCAUAUAAUAACAUUUUUGAGCCUCUAUUUCUGUGUGGUACGCACCUUCGUCUGAUUAAUACAAUAUACAUGAUUGUUUUCUGUUAGGGCUGUGGGAAAUGAGAGGCAGAGCAUCGAAGGAACUUGCCAUGUUCUCAUGGGUCCUAAGAGGGUCAAGAUAAGCUAUAGAUGGAGGCACCCUAAUUCUGGUCCCAAGAGCAAAACUGCUGGUGUGGAAGGAUGGGGAGGGGAGGCGGGGGACAGAUGCUUCCUGCCUUCUCUCUGUACCUGCCACGGUCUAUUGGAGCUGCUCUUUCUAUUUGUGCAGUGUUGCCUCCAGAACCUCAGCAAAUUUCUGACCAAUGGACAGAGUUAAAAUAAGCCACUCAUACAAUUUUCUACAACAGGGACCCAUUGUCACGGAGGUCAGGUGGCCACCAGCUAAGCAUUAUUGUCCUGAUCUGUACCAUCCAUUGUUUUGAUGUCGGAUGAAACCAUGAAAUGUGAGCCUUCUUUCUGCAUCUGGAAAUAAACAACAAAACUGAACUCGGUCCCACGCAACCCCAGAUGCCUUCUUUUCCCUCACAGCCUUGUUUCUCCAGCUUCCCCUCAAAAACCAUUUUAUUCCCUCAAUCACAACUAUGUGCUAGCUUUAGCAAACUGAUCACCCAACUGUCACAGCAGACAGCAGCUCUCUUUGUUUCCUUUAGGAUCUCCAAACCCUCUAGAGGCAAGUCCUAUGGCCUGAAGAUUUCAUCUUUGUGCAAGAGAAAAACAAAUAACCAGAUUUCUUCUAUCUCUUCUGCCUUAAAAAUGAAAUUUUAUGUGAUUCAUUUUUUCAACGCUAAGAUAAACAUGUAAUCUUUCAUUCUCUCUCUCUCUCUCUCCCUCUCUCAUCACACAUUUAAAACCAUGUUUAUUGAAUAUCUUGUUUUUCAUUUGGGAGAUGCCAGAAGAGCCUGAGGCCCUUCAGCCACGCUUAUUCUGGAGGCAGAAAAAAAUGGAGCCCAAACCUGGAGCCUGAAAGUUCUCUCCGACACAUAGCCCAGGCCAAGAACAAGAUACUGCUGAUUCCUUUUAGAAGUGUGCGAGUUUGCAUCCUGAUGAACCGGAAAGGUUAUGUUUACUACGCCUGGCUCAAGUCUCUGCCUCAGUCUUCCUGGGGAGUACAUGCUGGUUCCAGCGUAUGGCAUGGCCGAGGAAGAAGUUCUGGAUCCAACUGCCCAAUGUACCAUUGUGGUCCAAAAGAGCUUUGAACUGGAGCCUGGAAUGUGGCCCCAGAUGGUGGCCUAAGGGAUCCAGACCUGGUCUCUGAACACCUUCACUUGUACAGAGCCUGAGCCUGCGGUUCAGAAAGACAAGAAAGAAGAAAGGAAGGGCCAGAUUUCAGUUGCAACACUGAGUGCUUCCACAGCACCGCUGGUGGACGAACCUCUCUCUGGCUGGCACCUGCAGCAGGAUUGACUCCCACGGACCUGACAGAGUGAGCUCUGGGUCCUUGGUCAACUCAGGGAGGAAGGAAGAAUUCUUCGGAUGGAGGCACUAGACUUCUUGCUAAUAAGGACAUGUAGGAGUUCUAGCAAUUCACUAGAAUAAUUAGAGGCCCUGACUAUAUGUGUUGGUUGAAGCAUAUCAAACUAGCUACCAGUUCUCUUGCCUCAUUUAGAGUCCCAAGAGUGACCCAGAAAUUCCAUUCAUAUAUAUUUAUCCCAGAGAAGCAAAAACAUAUGCCCAUCCAAAAACAUGAAAGUUCAUAGCAGCAUUAUUCACAGUAGCCAAAAGGUGAAAGCAACCUACAUUACCUACCAAUAGAAGGAUGGCUAAAUAAACUAUAGUAUAUUAUACAAUAGCUAUUAUUUAUCAAUCAAAACAAAGGAGGGACUGAACAUGUUACAAUAUAUAUAUAUAUAUGAACCUUGAAAUUGAGAGUUAAACGAAAGAAGCCAAUCACAGAUGUAUUACAAUCAGAUGUGUUACAUGAGUCAUUUAUUUAUUUCCUUUGUAUACUCCUUUGUAUGCUUUAAGGUAAUUUGACAUUAAUUCAUCACAUACCGGAUUUUGCAAUAAACCUUCAAGUCAGGUAUUUGAAUGUUAAGCCCAAAGAAGUAAAUUGUUGGAUAUUUGUUUUAGAUGGGUAUAGUAUUUUGCUUUCUUAGGAUAAUGCAGUGCUUAGCCAUGACCAUGUGAACCAUGGUUUAGAUUAAAACGAUCUUUCUGUUUAA